rnacentral:rRNA from 1 species
UGGGGAAUAUUGGACAAUGGGCGAAAGCCUGAUCCAGCCAUGCCGCGUGUGUGAAGAAGGUCUUCGGAUUGUAAAGCACUUUAAGUUGGGAGGAAGGGCAGUAAGCGAAUACCUUGCUGUUUUUACGUUACCGACAGAAUAAGCACCGGCUAACUCUGUGCCAGCAGCCGCGGUAAUACAGAGGGUGCAAGCGUUAAUCGGAAUUACUGGGCGUAAAGCGCGCGUAGGUGGUUCGUUAAGUUGAAUGUGAAAGCCCCGGGCUCAACCUGGGAACUGCAUCCAAAACUGGCGAGCUAGAGUAGGGCAGAGGGUGGUGGAAUUUCCUGUGUAGCGGUGAAAUGCGUAGAUAUAGGAAGGAACACCAGUGGAGAAGGAGACCACCUGGGCUCAUACUGACACUGAGGUGCGAAAGCGUGGGGAGCAAACAGG